UAUGUCUGCUGACCAUCACCU
rnacentral:miRNA from 3 species